rnacentral:misc_RNA from 1 species
GAUGAAGAACGCAGUGAAAUGCGAUAGGUAAUGUGAAUUGCAGAAUUCAGUGAAUCAUCGAAUCUUUGAACGCACAUUGCGCCCUUUGGUAUUCCUUAGGGCAUGCCUGUUCGAGCGUCAUUACGCCCCUCAAGUCCCCUGUGGACUUGGUGUUGGGGAUCGGCGAGGCUGGUUUUCCAGCACAGCCGUCCCUUAAAUUAAUUGGCGGUCUCGCCGUGGCCCUCCUCUGCGCAGUAGUAAAACACUCGCAACAGGAGCCCGGCGCGGUCCACUGCCGUAAAACCCCCCAACUUUUUAUAGUUGACCUCGAAUCAGGUAGGACUACCCGCUGAACUUAAGCAUAUCAAUAAGCGGAGGA